UGUUUAUUGAUAUUAGAUAAUAAAUAAGCCCUGCCCAAUGAUAUUUAAAUGGCCGCGGUAUCCUAACCGUGCUAAGGUAGCAUAAUCACUUGUCUAUUAAUUGUAGACUAGAAUGAAUGGGUAAACGAAAUAAUUGCUUUAUUAAUAUAUACAAUAUAAACUAACCUAUAAGUGAAGAUGCUUAUAUUAAAUUAAAGGACAAGAAGACCCUAUAGAGCUUAAGCCACUAAUAUAUACAAUAUAUAAAAGCUUUGGUUGGGGCGACCAAGGAUAAAUCAUCCUUAACAAUAAAGAUAAAUUUAUCACCACAUAGAACUUAAACAAAAUUAUCAACAUAAGUUACCUUAGGGAUAACAGGCUAAUCUCAUUUACGAGUUCCUAUCUUAAAUGAGGAUUGGCACCUCGAUGUUGGCUUAGAUUUACUUUCAGGUGCAACCACCAAUAAAGUCAGGUUUGUUCAACCUAUAAAUAUCU
rnacentral:rRNA from 1 species